rnacentral:rRNA from 1 species
UUGAAAGGGAAACGAUUGAAGUCAGUCGUACCUGCGGGUAAUCAGCCUUUUGGGCAUGAUUCUGUGGAGCGUGAGGAGUUAAACGCCUUCAUGCCUGCAUAUUCGUGUACUUUGGGUGUACUUGCCUGUGUGGUUAGUUAACAUCAAUUUUGGUUAUCAUAAUUGGUUGGAGGAAUGUAGCUUCGAUUUCGAUUGAAGUGUUAUAGCCUUCGGCAGAUGUGAUGAUCGGGAUUGAGGAUUGCAACGGAUACCCUUCGGGCUUACCUGUCUGAUUUCUGAUCGUUGCUCUGGUGCCGAAAGCUUGCUUACGGUUAUCAAAGUCGAUGGUCAAUAGGUUAGAAUGGGUUAAAUUCGUUAAGGAUGUUGACGUA